GCAGUGGUGGUUCAGUAGUGGAAUUCUCACCUUCCAUGUUGGAGACCUGGGUUUGAGUCCUGGCCAGGGCA
rnacentral:tRNA from 1 species